rnacentral:pre_miRNA from 1 species
AGCACAAAUUUGAGGUAGAGUAGAUGAGAAGGAUCAUCUGACUCUACUAGUCUACUCUUCUUCGAGUUUGUGCCC